UUCUGUGACUAUACCACCCUGAAUGCACCCUAUCCCAUCUAAUUUUGGAGGUUAAGCAAGAUCAGAUCUGGUUAGCACUUGGAUGGGAGAAAAUAAUGAUAAAUUACAGAUA
ensembl:rRNA 5S_rRNA 5S ribosomal RNA